UCCGAGUUGACCCCGGCGGUCUCCUGAGAGUGCUUCCUUACGGAGUGGCAACACAGGACAAGGGUUGCGCUCGUUGCGGGACUUAACCCAACACCUCACGACACGAGCUGACGACAGCCAUGCAGCACCUGUGUGUAGGUCCCGUAAGGGAAGGAAUCCAUCUCUGGAGACCGUCCUACCAUGUCAAACGCUGGUAAGGUUCUGCGCGUUGCUUCGAAUUAAACCACAUGCUCCACCGCUUGUGCGGGCCCCCGUCAAUUCAUUUGAGUUUUAACCUUGCGGCCGUACUCCCCAGGCGGUCAACUUAAUGCGUUAGCUGCGCCACUAAGAGCUCAAGGCUCCCAACGGCUAGUUGACAUCGUUUACGGCGUGGACUAC
rnacentral:misc_RNA from 1 species